AUCCACUUGACCAGUCCCAGAUAGAACGAAACGCGCGUCCUGAAU
rnacentral:hammerhead_ribozyme from 1 species